rnacentral:rRNA from 1 species
UACGAAGGGGGCUAGCGUUGCUCGGAAUCACUGGGCGGAAAGCGCACGUAGGCGGCUUGUUAAGUCAGGGGUGAAAUCCUGGAGCUCAACUCCAGAACUGCCUUUGAUACUGGCGAGCUUGAGUCCGGGAGAGGUGAGUGGAACUGCGAGUGUAGAGGUGAAAUUCGUAGAUAUUCGCAGGAACACCAGUGGCGAAGGCGGCUCACUGGCCCGGUACUGACGCUGAGGUGCGAAAGCGUGGGGAGCAAACAGG